rnacentral:rRNA from 1 species
GGGGGCCCGCAAGCAGCGGAGCAUGUGGUUUAAUUCGAAGCAACGCGAAGAACCUUACCUAGACUUGACAUCUCCUGCAUUACCCUUAACCGGGGAAGUUCCUUCGGGAACAGGAAGACAGGUGGUGCAUGGUUGUCGUCAGCUCGUGUCGUGAGAUGUUGGGUUAAGUCCCGCAACGAGCGCAACCCUUAUUGUUAGUUGCUACCAUUUAGUUGAGCACUCUAGCGAGACUGCCCGGGUUAACCGGGAGGAAGGUGGGGAUGACGUCAAAUCAUCAUGCCCCUUAUGUCUAGGGCUACACACGUGCUACAAUGGCAAGUACAAAGAGAAGCAAUACCGCGAGGUGGAGCAAAACUCAAAAACUUGUCUCAGUUCGGAUUGUAGGCUGAAACUCGCCUACAUGAAGCUGGAGUUGCUAGUAAUCGCGAAUCAGAAUGUCGCGGUGAAUACGUUCCCGGGCCUUGUACACACC